rnacentral:lncRNA from 1 species
CUGAGUAAUCCUUUGGAUCCAUAGUCCUCAGGCAGACAAACUUUCAGAGCCAAACUUGCUUUCAUCACCCCUAGAUAAAAUAGUAUUAAUUAAGAGACAGUAGCUUGCAGGCUCAGGCAUUCUGAACCAAAAGCUUUUAAGAUUGCAACUUCAAUAACCCAGAAUUUGGGCCUGGUUCUCCAUGACUUUGUCUGCAGUGUUUGCUCUUCAGCAACAAAGCAGAUUUUGACACAUGGCCUGGCUUCCAUUUCACAUGCUCUUACUUCCAGACAGAAGCUUGAAUAAGAAGUACUCAGGGAACACCUCCACCACCACUACCCAAACAAAGCUGGAAACGGUGGCAGACUGCACCGACCACGUGGGGAUGGAAACACUGUACUAACCCUGCAGCAGUCUAGGCCCCAGCUGCGUUCCUGUAACUCAUGGCCAUCUCUGACAAACAGUAGCAUAACUUGGGAGGGGGGUGCAACCAGGGCACUGGCUCUAGGUGUUGCUUCAGGGGUCACCAAAAUGGCAACCCCUAGAGAACCUGUACUACUAUUGCAGACUGUACUGAGGGAGCUUAGACUGAGGUAACAGCAUCUGUGUCAGUGCUGCUGUAGCCUGCAUGAGGAGGUAAGCACCCCACCCUCCACAUGCCAUCCCACCAAAAUUAAGA